UGGGAGUUGGCCACGCCCGAAGUCGUUACUCUAACCGUUCGCGGAGGAGGGCGCCGAAGGCAGGGCUGAUGACUGGGGUGAAGUCGUAACAAGGUAGCCGUACCGGAAGGUGUGGCUGGAUCACCUCCUUU
rnacentral:rRNA from 1 species